rnacentral:miRNA from 2 species
GUGAAGUGCUUGGGGGAACUC